UCCUGGCUGUAAACGAUGUUCAUUGGGUGUUAAAGGUAUCGACCCCUUUGGUGCCGAAGCUAACGCGUUAAAUGAACCGCCUGGGGAUUACGACCGCAAGGUUAAAACUCAAAAGAAUUGACGGGGGCCCGCACAAGCGGUGGAGCAUGUGGUUUAAUUCGAUGCUACGCGAACAACCUUACCUGGGUUUGACAUGCUGAUAGUAGAAGUUUGAAAGAAUGACGAUCCGGAGCAAUCCGGAAGUCAGCACAGGUGCUGCAUGGCUGUCGUCAGUUCGUGUCGUGAGAUGUUUGGUUAAGUCCAACAACGAACGCAACCCCCA
rnacentral:rRNA from 1 species